rnacentral:ncRNA from 2 species
CGAAAAGGGUGUCAGGGGGAUGACAGAAUGCGUGCUCGCACGCAAGGAGUUUCAAACAUUUGACAACCAAGCCGGGCAUGAGUAAGCAGAGCGAAAGCCCGGAUUACGAAUGCCGGCGGAGAUUGCGGGAGCACGCAGUGCGGAGCAAUCUCCUUUCG